GAGGGUAUAGCUCAGUGGUAGAGUGCAUGCUUAGCAUGCACAAGGUUCUGGGUUCAAUCCCCAGUACCUCCA
rfam:Camelus ferus unplaced genomic scaffold scaffold1505, whole genome shotgun sequence.